GAUGAACGCUGGCGGCGUGCUUAACACAUGCAAGUCGAACGGAAAGGCCAGUGCUUGCCCUGGUACUCGAGUGGCGAACGGGUGAGUAACACGUGGGUGAUCUGCCCUGCACUUCGGGAUAAGCCUGGGAAACUGGGUCUAAUACCGGAUAGGACAAUGGUUUGGAUGCCGUUGUGGAAAGUUUUUUCGGUGUGGGAUGAGCUCGCGGCCUAUCAGCUUGUUGGUGGGGUAAUGGCCUACCAAGGCGUCGACGGGUAGCCGGCCUGAGAGGGUGUACGGCCACAUUGGGACUGAGAUACGGCCCAGACUCCUACGGGAGGCAGCAGUGGGGAAUAUUGCACAAUGGGCGCAAGCCUGAGGCAGCGACGCCGCGUGGGGGAUGACGGCCUUCGGGUUGUAAACUCCUGUCGCUAGGGACGAAGCGUAUUUGUGACGGUACCUGGAGAAGAAGCACCGGCUAACUACGUG
rnacentral:rRNA from 1 species